AUGGCUUCCUCUGCCGCCGCCGCCACGUCUAGCCUCUCUGGCCAGAUCACAGAACGGCUUACCCGCACCAACUAUCUUCUCUGGCGCACUCAGAUCGCGCCACAGAUCAGAGGGGCCGGCUUCUUUGGGUAUGUGGAUGGAACCAUGCCUGAGCCGGCAAAGCUCGUCGUCAUCAAGGAUAAAGAUGGGAAGGAGGAGACCGUCCCCAACACGCUCCACUCCGUCUGGAUGCGAGAGGAUCAACAGGUACUUGGCUAUUUGCUGAACAACCUGUCUAAAGAUGUACUAGUGCAGGUGACUUCCAUCGGCCAUGCACAUCAACUCUGGUCGGCGCUAGCGAGCAUGUUCUCCUCAUAG
rnacentral:rRNA from 1 species